rnacentral:rRNA from 1 species
AUUGAACGCUGGCGGCAGGCCUAACACAUGCAAGUCGAACGAGUGGCGGACUGGUGAGCAAUGUCUGGGCACCUGCCUGACGGAGGGGGCUAACUACUGGAAACGGUAGCUAAUACCGCAUACCAUCAGAUGUGCCCAGAUGGGAUUAGCUUGUUGGUGAGGUAACGGCUCACCAAGGCGACGAUCCCUAGCUGGUCUGAGAGGCUGACCAGCCACACUGGAACUGAGACACGGUCCAGACUCCUACGGGAGGCAGCAGUGGGGAAUAUUGCACAAUGGGCGCAAGCCUGACGCAGCCAUGCCGCGUGUAUGAAGAAGGCCUUCGGGUUGUAAAGUACUUUCAGCGGGGAGGCGUUACCCGCAGAAGAAGCACCGGCUAACUCCGUGCCAGCAGCCGCGGUAAUAC